ACUACAUUGCCACCCCGAAACCUAAUGGCUAUCAGAGUCUUCAUACUACAGUUAUACCGUUUCUUUAUGAGAGUAUGUUUAGGUUGGAAGUUCUGGUUAGUCAUUUUGAUCUCUCUAAUUUUAAGCUCUAUCUUGAGCAUCAUCUAGAUGCUUAUGGUAUAUGAUUAUUAGUUGCAUGUUCUCUCAUCAUAUGUCACUUGCAAGGAAUUCAAUUUAUUCUUAUAUUACUUUGGUUGGCAGAUUAGAACUGAAGAGAUGGAUUUGAUUGCUGAAAGAGGGAUUGCUGCACAUUAUAGUGGGAAAGUUUUUGUGAAUGGCUUAGUUGGACAUGUUAUGCCAAAUGGCAGUAGCACCCGAGGGAAAACGGUUUGCCUAAAUAAUGCCAAUGUUGCCCUCAGGGUAGAAUAUCUUUUUACUCUAUAGUUUCACAUGUGGAAAUCAUUCUUCUGUUAGGGGGUCUUAGAUUAAGUGCUUUGUACUUGACUGCAUCACUAAUUCAAUGGUGGUACUCCCUUUUGUCUUCAGAUAGGCUGGCUGAAUGCAAUUAGGGAAUGGCAAGAGGAGUUCGUUGGGAACAUGAGCUCCAGAGAGUUUGUUGACACUGUCACCAGAGAUCUUUUAGGCAGUCGUGUCUUUGUAUUUACACCCAGAGGAGAGGUAAUAGUUAUCAUUGAUGUUGCGGGAAAAGGAACUGUGUCGAAUGCUUAUUUAGUUCUUAAUUUCCUACAGAUUAAAAAUCUACCUAAAGGAGCGACUGUCAUCGAUUAUGCAUAUAUGAUACACACUGAAGUUGGCAACAAAAUGGUGGCUGCAAAGGUAAUGGUUCUGUGUCUGAAGUAUAUUUUUUAUUUAUGAAUUCUGGUUACACUGUUGCAACUUUCUUCUGUCUGAAUUCUGGUCUAAAUGCCAAAAUUUUCUUUUUGCAGGUCAAUGGCAAUCUUGUAUCUCCAACACAUAUUCUUGCUAAUGCUGAAGUUGUGGAGAUAAUAACUUACAAUGUUAGUUGAUGUGAAUUUUUGACUUGUGUUUGACCCCUUGUAGAUCCAAUCUACUUCUUGCAUGGUUAGCUUCGUAUCAAUUAUCAUGCGUGGCCUACUUGAUGAAACUGGGACAUCUGCUAGUUUCAAGUUUUAUUUUUAUGAUAUAUAGAGUUUGAUGCUCAGAUAUACUCAUCUGAAAUCGAACUUGCAUGUUCAUGUUCCUACACCAUUUGGGAAGUUUAACAUUUCUCUGUUAUUUUUUGUUAGUCUAUUAUUUUCAUUAAGCAGCGUGUGUUACUCCCUUGUGACAUUUCCUGUCUUCUUGAAGUGAAUAUCCCCUUUUUCUGGCUUUUGCAUUCUAAUGGUAGAAUAUCUUAUCUAGUUGUGUACCAUUUCCUACAUACAGCUUACAAGUUUUUUCCCUUUUUAGGGGCUCUCAAGUAAAUCUGCCUUCCAGAGACAUAAGCAGUGGCUGCAACAUGCAAAAACACGCAGUGCACGACACAAGAUAAUGAAAGUAGGUUUAUCUCUGCCUCAGAACAUAUGUCGGUUUACCAACAACUUGUGUUAGCCUUUUUAAUCUGGACACCAUACUCUUCUCAGUUCUUAAAGGAGCAAGCUGCACUAUCAGCAACUGAAAUAACUGCUGAUACGGUGAAGGAAUUCACUGCUGAAUCUGAAGAGGAAAGUGAAGUGGAAGAGAUCGUGAAUUACUCUAAAGGGGCUAAACACACUUGGGGGAAUAUAUUGAAGAAUAUUGUGCAAAUGUCAUCAUCGAAGACGAGUGGUGAAGAUAUUUUUCAGUUCAAUAAGAGGGGCAUUCAGAUUGCUAAGGUUAAUGGGAUUCAUAACAAGCACAUGCAGCAUGUGAGUUUGAGGGCCAAUGAAGAAGUUUUAUCUCAAGGCAAUGGUGUUGCCAAGAUGAUUCUAGCCAACAUUCCAAUAUACAGGGAAGUUUUGCCUGGGUUAGAGUGCUGGCGAGCUAGCAAGGUUGCAUCUUGGUGCAACCUUCAGGGGCACUCUGUCCAGUGGUUCUGCAUAGUGUGCAUAGAUCGAAGAGGUAAUGUUUCAUACUGCUAUGCUACUUUUAGGUCUAGUGCAUGUUUGGCUAAGCUUAAAAUGUUUAGUCGUAAGUGAAUAAGUGAGUUUUAUAAUAAAUAAUUUUUUUAUUUGGUCAAAAUUUCUAGUUACUUGUGUUGACUAUAAAGCAAGACCUAAUUUCAAAUUAUAUAUAUAUAUUUUACUUUAGAAGUAGAAAAAGGGUAAGCUAUCCAAUCAUGUUUGUGAAAGCUUAGUCAAACACGCUGAACCUUCUCAUCCUUAUUUUAAAUGUACGAGGCAUAUUUUGAUGGUGAAUCAGGUUGUAUCAAUAUUUUACAAUUUCAUAUAUUGGCUAAUUGAUAGGUCUUAUGAAAUAUUCUUCCUAUGUUUAUGAUCAAAGAUCAAAAUCAAGGGAACUUUAUUUGUUGUGGUGAUUGGAAGAUUUAACUGUUUUGGAAAUACUAUUAUGCUUCUGUGUAACUUGGCUGUAAUAUGCAUUCUCAACUCUCUACAUGAUGCAUUAGUAACCUUCUAAUUAUGCGGUUCAAAAUUUUAUCAAUGACUGCCAGGUAUGAUGGCAGACAUCACGGCUGCAUUGGCAGCUGAAGGAAUUACCAUAUGUUCUUGUGCGGUGAGCUCAAAAAAAUAAUAUUGUUUUCUUUUUAUUAUUAUUAUUUUUUUUCAAAACGCCUUUGUAGCAAAUAUUCAAUGACUCGUACUUGCCACAAGCUAAAAUUAAUUUUUACAUCAUAAUUUAUCUACGUCAUAUUUCACACUGGUCAAAUUUUUUCUUUUGCCACAAUACUACAAACCAGCUAACGUUCUAAUAUCCCUUGUUUGGAAUUAAAAAUAUUCUUUUAUUUGUCUAAAGAAUUUUUGUUGUUCAUAGAAAAAUAGAAAGCAAGAAACCCCCAAGUCUUAACAUGAUAUUAGAGCCCAUCAUGUUCCAACAAGCGAUUCAAUCCGAUUAAGACUUAAUAAAUGAGCAUGCAAAUUUCAAUAUUGGUCUGCUUAAACGAGCAAAUAAAAUAAGCAUACAUAUUUCAAGAUUGGUUUGUUCAAACGAGCCACUAUCAUGGAUAUGUUAAGAGAUAAAAUUUCGCAUUAGAUAAAAAUGAAAACAUAGACAAACUUAUAAGACUUUAGAUUACCCUUCUUAAUAAGGUUGACAUUUUAAAAUGAAAUUUGAAUGAGAAACUAUUAUCCAUGUUGAACAAAUCCAUCUGAAUGAGCGGUAUCUAUAUACAUGUGCUUGAAAUACAUAUGUUAACAUGUAUGUAAAGAUAAAAAUGAACAUUCGACUUUAUUUAGAUCGUGUUUGAUUUAGUAUUUAAAAAUCAAAAUUUUAAUAAAUUUGAUUUGAUUAAAAGUCUUAUUGAAAAGUUCAUGAAAAUUGUGAAUUCCUUGAAAUGUGCAAUUAGAAACGAGUUUGGAAAAAAACAAAAUGAAUUUUAAAAUAUAGAGGCUAAACUGGAUAAUGAAUUGAUCCGAUUAAGAAGAAAGGAGUGGGGGUUUUCGUUAGUCAAUUUUAAUUCUAGAAACACUUGUAUCGAACGUUGAUUGAUGUAUACUAAUUCAAGCCUCUAAGUUACGUCCAUAUAUAGGUACCUUCUCUUCGAGGAAGUAUAUUCCUAUGUGAAUUGAUAUGGAAAAGGGUCUCCCCUACUUGAAGUUGGAUUUUUAUUGUAAAAGGGGGAAUAUGCCAUUAUAUUCAUACGACUACUCCUCUCUUACCUAAAUGUGUAGACUUCAAUUUUGUUAUUAUAUGUAUGCUUUUACCUUUUUCACAUUUUCUUGCAUUGCUUUCUCUAUGUUUAAGUUAUAUUUAUGGUUCAUUUUAAAGAAUAUAUCGAAUUAUCAUGGUUAUAAUCACUUUGACGAGGUUUAUGCCUCUCCUCAAAGCAUUAAAUCCAUAUAUGUUGUGUUGCUAGGAGAAUUUGAAUUUAUAAGAAAGGUGUCAUAGAAUUUGAUUUUCUUUAUUACAUAAUAAGCGUAGUUCAUGUGAAUUUCUUUUCAUAUUUUGAAUUUUUUUAGUUUUUAAAAAAUAAUAUAAUCAAGCAUCAAAAGGGAUAAGGGAAAGAAGAAAAAUAUUUUCUUUGCAUUGACCAAUUUAUUGAUUUACGAAUUAAACUUUGGGAGUUAAUUGAGCUUUAAAAGAAAAGGUUUGGAAAAAUAAAUUUUUAAGACAACCUAACGUGGCAGUAGUUAAAAUUGAGUUACUUUAAAUAAAUUCAAUCAUUAAAAUUAUAAAUUUAAUUGAUCUAUAUCUACUAAACAUAAGAUUUAACUUGAGAUGGUAGAUGAAUUAAUUUAGACAAAUAUUUGUUAUAAAUUAUAUUUCUUUAAAAAUUAGACCAGUUACUUGAAACAGUCUCGUCAAGAUUUGAUGUAUAGAUAACUCUAAAUAAAUUUGAUUAAUUAUAUAAGUCACAGAAAAACUUGUCUCAAGUCUUGUUCUAUCUAAUAAACUUAUAAAAGUCAAAAAAAUUUGAUUGAAAUUUUAUAUAAAAUGGCCUACCUAGGUCAAUUCGUGGGGGUGCGAUCACGUUCACUUAAAUCAUACCUUAAUUUUCUGCACACAAAAUUAGCCCACAGAGAAAUAAUGAAAUAUUAUCAAAAUAAAUAAAAAUAAAAAUAAAAAUAUCUUCACCUUAAGGCAUUUAUGUGGUCUCGACUGAAACUCCAUUUUAUCCCCCCCCGCCUCUCUUUGUUUCUCACUCUAGAUUAUCUCAAUCUCUUUCACCACCUGCCUUCAAUCCACCCCUUAACUAAGCCCUCUCUAAUUUUGAAUAACUAGGUUUUUUCUCCUUUAGCCGAAUAGAAAUCUUUUGAUUCUAUAUUUUAGUGAGCUUUGGAUUCUGCUUAUUUGAUUUUUGUUUCAGAACUGUAGUUUAGUGUGCGUUUCGUUCAAUGCGUGUUUUGUGGACCGAUGCUUCGAAUUAGAAAUGGCUCCUGCUGCUUCAAUGUCAGGUCCGUAUUACUUUCCGCUCUGAUGUUGAUUUAGUUUGUAAUUUGGUUGAGCUAGUGUGUAUUUUUCGGAAAUGUUUGAUUAAUUUUGUGCGAUUGAGAUUUUUUUUUCGAUUUUGGCAGUGUCUGUAGAAUGCUUGAAUAUAUUUAAGUUCUGGAAAGGGGAUGUGAGUGGAAAAUAUGAUUGCAGCGUGCUCUCGUGUGCUUCUAAGGCUCCAAGAGCACUCACGGGAUUUCUCGCAAGCACCGCUCAUCCUUCGCACCAUUGUGGAAGAACUGCGAGAAGAAAUCACAUUUCAUGUGUGAGUAUUUACCUGAAUUUUAGAGAUUUUAUGCAUCAAAAUUCAUCACAUGGCUGAUCAAGAACACAUAAGUUUCGAAAUGUUAUCGCGCUAUAUCUAGCCAACUUCAAAUUUAGUAUGAACAAGGCUAGGUUUGUUGUUCUAUAUCUAGAUUUUCUUUUGGAAUUGCUAUUUUUCUUUUCUUAGGAAGGUUGGAAUAGUUAAUUUUAUAGAAUAAUUUAGAAAUUUUAAGUCCUACAAAAAAUUGUAUUUAAGCGAACCAGUUGAUGAAUAUCAGAAUGGAUGUAGUUUUGAGCAAUGAGAGAUUUUUCUGAGGAGUUCUUAUAGGAUAGAAAUCGUGGCUGAUGUAAGUUUGCUAAGUAAUUGAAAGCAUGGAAGUGUUAAAUAAUCUGUCUUGUGUUUAUUUAGCUGAGUGUUUGCUUGUUUCUGUAAUUUCUGACUGUUAAUGUGUACUUAAACUCGUCUUUGCUUUGUAUAUCAUUGAGUUCUAUAUGAGUACUCAUUCCUUCCAUAGCUGAAAUGUGAUUCACAAAUUUAUUAUCUGUUAUUUCUAUUUUAAUCGCAAUAUAUGUUUGUUUGCCUUCACCAGCAGCAAGUGGCCUUCUCUUUUUCUACUCCUCAAUCGUUCUUUUACUUGUGCCAGAAAUAUGAAUCCCAUUAUUUGGGAGGAUGGUAUUCACAGGAAGCCUCAGACUCCAUCCUUCCACAAAAGCUCUUAAGCUCGAGAAUGGUUCAUUUGGCUACUGGAAAAUGUAAUUCGCGUAGUGUACCAUCUUCUUCACAAGCAUGCGAGGUUUCUCCUGACAGCUUGUGGGAGGUAUGUGAAAUGACUCAUUUUUCAUCAAUUGUUCGCAUAAAAAUGUAAUUUAUGAAUCUAAAAAACUAUAUGAAAUCCAUCUCAGAUAACACGAUAAUGAUUACUAUUGUGAAAGGCAAAAGGUAGCAGGCAUGGAAGAUAAAUUAAGAAAGAAGAUUGAAUGGCAUGAUUACUAUAAAUCUUAAAUCUUGUCGAAAAGUAGGACAUGAAAUGAUGAUGUUGAAAAAUGCGAUUUCUGGUGAAACUCUCGAGCUAAUUGCACUUGAGUCACAAAGCUAAAAGAAUCCAUAUAUUUGCCCUGAUAGCAGGGAAAGGCUUGAUCUGAACAUGACAGUUCGUUUGAGUGCCAAAAAUGGAGUAACAACUUUGCAGUACUGAUGCAAUUUUUUUCUUUGUAUCAGGAUCUCAAACCUACCAUCCAAUAUCUCUCAUCAAAAGAAUUGGAAUUGGUUCGUAAUGCGCUGAAUGUAAGUUUAUUUUGUUCUUCAUAAAUUCUUAGUUGCUCUAGUUGUUAUUAUCUUCUAGUUCUCUGGCCUCAAUGCUCAUUUUUUUUUAUUUUUCUCGUUUUCCUAUAUUUCUUAAUUUACCUUUUUGCCCCUCAACCUCUACCUCCCAUAUUUAUAAAUUUUUGACUCCUACGGAAGAGAUACUGCUGAGAAACUCUUGUGUCGUACAGUCAGGAAGGAUUCAGUUGUCAAACCUUAAUUCUAUGUCGUUUUCUUUUUUGGCUUGUUACACAGCUUGCUUUUGAGGCCCACGAUGGUCAAAAGAGGCGCAGUGGAGAGCCCUUUAUUAUUCACCCAGUUGCAGUUGCACAAAUUCUUGGAGAACUUGUGAGUUAUGCAGAUUAAUCAUCUUUAUCUAUCUCUAUAGCUGAUGAGCGUUUGAUUUUCUUUUAUUAUUUGGCACUUGAUUUGAUUAUGACAAUCACUUUUUACUUAAUUUCUGUCAUUUCAGGAAUUGGAUUGGGAGUCAAUUGCUGCUGGUUUGUUACAUGACACGGUGGAAGAUACAAAUAUUGUUACAUUUGAAAGAAUAGAGAAGAAUUUUGGCUCUACUGUUCGUCACAUUGUUGAAGGGGAAACUAAAGUUAGUUUCAUGCACUUUAUUCUUUGAUAGCUUUUUUCUUUUUUCACACGUUAUUUUCUUAUUUCCCUUUAUCUAAAUCUCCUCUUUAGUGUUAAGUUGACACUCAUUGUUGAACAUUUAAUACUCAUAAGUUAUUUGUCUCUGUUAAUCCAGGUAUCGAAACUUGGGAAACUUAAGUCUAAGGAUGAGAAUCAUUCUGUUCAAGAUGUCAAGGCAGAUGACCUCCGACAGAUGUUUCUAGCCAUGACCGAAGAGGUAUGACACUUGUAUGUGUAGACAUAUAGUAAUAUCGUUGUUUCUGCACUACAAUCUGUAACAACAAAGUGUUGGGUGUUUCAGGUUCGCGUUAUAAUAGUCAAAUUAGCUGACAGAUUGCAUAACAUGCGCACGCUUUCGCAUAUGCCUCCACACAAGCAGGUGUAUAUAUUGGAACUUUUGUUCAAUUACUAUCUGAUUCCAAAUUGUUCUUAAUGGUAUCUAUCGUGUCCAGUCCAGCAUAGCCCUGGAGACACUGCAGGUUUUUGCUCCUCUGGCAAAAUUGCUUGGAAUUUACCAAAUCAAGGUACGCUAUUUCCUACUAUGCUGAUUGUUGUUAAAUCAUCUUGGAUUACAUGAUAUAAAGCUUUGUGUGGUAUCUCUAUCGACCUUUAAAAUAAAUACCAUGUUCUGCCCACAUUAUCCAAAUUCUAUUUUAGAUUAUUAUUGUGAAUUUGUGAUUGACAUCCGUUGAGGCUUAUAGAAUUAAUUUUUGAACCCAUAAUAUGUAUCAUAUUCUGCCUUCAAUUCUGUUUUGUUUCAUGUGCUUUCUACCAGGAAAUUCCCAUUGUUGUUUCGCUACAAUUAACUAGUAAUUGUCAUGUUGUUCUGCCCCUACGUUUACUGAUUUACGUCCCUGGGGCAUAAACCCUAUACUAGACUGUAUGUGGGCCCAAUCAAAUCGCGCAUUUCCAUUUUUUGCACCUUUGGCAUCCAGAUGACGACCCAAGGUUUACCUUUUCAUGGCAUCUAUUCAACUAGAACACAUGAAAUGUUGGACAUUCCAUUCUUAACUUCACUAAAGUGGUCAACUGGAAGCUGGAGUAGGGACAUCCUAGAUCUAUAUUGAACGGCUGUUAAUCUCCUUCACCAUUUGAUUUCUAUGCCAAACUAUUUUUUUAUUCUUCUGUGCAAAAUUUUUAGUAAAUAAUUGGUCAUACAAAUGAUUUAAAAAUCUAUAAUAAUUAAACUUCAAAUAUUCUAUAAAGCUAUAUAUUCGCACGUGACACGGGCACUAUAAACCUUUUUUUUGCUGUAGUUGGAACCUGUACAAUUAAUCUCACUCUGCGUAUCCAGUAAUUAUUUGUACGCCUACCAUAUCUUUUAUCUUUUCAUCUCCACCCCAGAUCGAUCAUUUCCUUUGUUGUUACAGGCCACAUUUAGAAAGGUCCUAUGCCGGUCAACAAUCACUUCUAGUGCCAUUAUGUGAUUUCCCUGGACAUAAAACUGCUUUUAACUAAACCUUGUCAUUUCACCUGCAAUACCUUCUCUCUACACAAUUUUCCUGUACUUGGGUAUAUGGUUAUUAUAUUACAUUUUCUGCUUAUCUUUCCAUUUUCUUUCUUGCAGUCAGAACUUGAAAAUCUGGCAUUUAUGUACACAAAUGCUCAAGAUUAUGCUAAGGUCAGGAUAAGAAUUUCAGAACUUUAUAAAGAACACGAGAAAGAACUUGAAGAGGUAAUUUACGUUAUUCUGUGAUCCAAUAUGUGAUAGUGCAGCAAGCUAAUUUUCGGAUGCAUUGAUGGGGGUUAUAUGACUUUUUGGUUGUACUUUUUAAUUUAUUUCAGUGUAAUUUACUGAACUCUUUUGUUCUUCCAUUAGGCAAACAAAAUAUUAAUGAAGAGGAUUCAGGAUGACCAAUUCCUAGAUCUUAUGACGGUGAAAACUGAAGUUCAAUCUGUAUGCAAGGAACCUUACAGGUGAUCCUCGACCUUGACCUCUUUCUCUCUCAUUUCAGAUGCAUUGAUUUAUUUGUGUAUGUUCGUCAUGGUGAAUGUCUGUUCUCUUUUCUGUCCUUCAAAUUUUUAGUUACUGCCCUGUUGCGGUAUAACCCCAACCAUCAACCACCAACCUCAUCUCUUGGAAUAGAACUUGAACUAUUAGAUGUACAGAAAUUCCACUUAUUGAUAUGGAAGUCUGCAUAGAGUAAUGGAGAUGUCUCUGACUCUAAAUUCUUUUAUAUAUAUGCAGCAUCUAUAAAGCUGUACUUAAAUCUAGAAGCUCGAUAAAUGAAGUCAACCAAAUUGCACAGGUAUUGCCAUCAUUUUCCUCCAUCAUUUUGAUGUGCCAUUUUCUGUUACAAUCUCUCACUUCUCUGAAUAUUUUUCCUACCAGCUUCGAAUAAUUAUAAAACCGAAGCCAUGCGUUGGAGUCGGACCCCUGUGUAAUGCACAGCAGGUAAACUGAUAUCUAGUUUAAAGCAUCUAACGUCGCGUUCUAAAUUACAGUCCUAAUUUAUCUCUCUAACUGAAAUUUCCUUUGCAGAUAUGCUAUCAUGUUCUCGGGCUGGUGCAUGGAAUUUGGACUCCUAUUCCUCGAGCUGUAUGUCUGUUCAUCCCCUUGUUUUUAGUUUCAAGAUGCUUUUACUACAUAUUGUUUGUACAGCAUAUUGAGGUGUAUUUUUUCCUUUUUCCCUUUCAUUGUUUGGGAACCAGAUUAAGGACUACAUUGCCACCCCGAAACCUAAUGGCUAUCAGAGUCUUCAUACUACAGUUAUACCGUUUCUUUAUGAGAGUAUGUUUAGGCUGGAAGUUCUGGUUAGUCAUUUUGAUCUCUCUAAUUUUAAGCUCUAUCUUGAGCAUCAUCUAGAUGCUUAUGGUAUAUGAUUAUUAGUUGCAUGUUCUCUCAUCAUAUGUCACUUGCAAGGAAUUCAAUUUAUUCUUAUAUUACUUUGGUUGGCAG
rnacentral:lncRNA from 1 species